UACUGUCACACUACUUCACACAGACGAUUAAAAUAAAAAAUAAAUAAAUAAAUAAAUAAAAUAGUAAAAUCCUCUAUCUUAUGAAGUUUAACUCCUGGUGUGUCAUCCAGUUUAUAAUGAAGCAGAAGCAUCAUUACUGUCAACAUACAAGCACACGUGUCACUACCUUCACACAGAUGAUAAAAUAAAAACAAACAUAAACAUCGUAAAAUCCAACAUCCUACAAACUCUAAACCCUCUUAUGGCAUCACAUUAUCAUUAAACCUCCACGGUGUUGCUGGAAACGUACACAAACACGUGUCCUUCACCGCCCUCUCUUUUGUACCUCGGUCGCUUCUCGCCUAGGAGGUUCAAUAAAGACUCCUCUCUCAGCGCUGGUCGCCUCAUGGUCAGCCAGGAAUGAACACUCGCGCACCACAACUUGUGGAAUUAAUCUACAUAUGGAAUGCUACUUUCCUUUUUCCUUUGCAUCGUCUCAGCUUCAAUACAUUCCCACGUGGGCAUAAAGGGAAGGUAAAUAAUGGUUGCAAUGUUGCUGUGGAUUCUGUUGCAGUUCCGUGAAUUUGUCCAGCUGCAUCCAGUGUGCCUUGCCCGAGGUUUUAUUUAUUUAUUUAUUUACGUAUUUUUGUUCUUCUCUUCCUUCUCUUCCUAAUUAUUUUUUUCUCCAUCAUGCGCUACUCUGCCAUUCUGUGAGCUUCUCUUCAUAUGUUUUUAUCUCUUCUCAUAUAAUAUUUCUGCUAAUUGUUAGAGGUUUGUUUACUUUUUAUAUAUUUUUCCUUCUCUUUCUCCUACUUAUUCUUUUCUUCUUCCCACACCAUCCCUUUAUACUUUUAACUCCUCUUCCUACUCUUUUCUUUCUUCCUCAUGUAACACUUCUGCUAACAACACACCACGGUCUAACUUAUUCCACAUAACUACCCAAAUACGUUCUCCUCUAUCCCAAUUAAUUAUCUAGCCAUUGUUUCUUUCGUUCCACUUAAUUCACAAGUAACUGUCCAAAAUAUUAAAGAGCCAUGUUCUCCUUUAUCCCAUCUAAUCAACUGACCACCCUCCUGUAUCCCAUCUAACUACCCACUCACUGUCUCUUCUAUCCUAACUAACUACUUUCCCUUAUGUUCCAUGUAACGAGGUAAUGUCUCCUUUGUCUCACCUUUCUAACAGGCAUUUUUUUUUUUUUCGAAUUAGGUACCUAGUACUUCUCCUCUCUUCCACUUGAAUGGAUAAUGUCUUUCCUAUCCCAACUAAUUUACUAGGUGUACUCUCCUCCACCCAGCUAGUCUCCUCUGUUCACUCUACUUAACCACACUCAAUAGUUAGCCAGUCUCUUUCACCCGACUACUCGUAAACAAGCCGGCCACUGUCUGCUCUCUCCCACCUAAUCCAAUCUUUCCUCCAUCAAAUUAACCACCUUGCCAACAAUCAAGAUACCGCCCUCCCUAUUGUUUCCAGCCCAGUAGCAUUAAUGACGGUAAUCCCUGCCCUCUCUAGUUAUCGGUCUUUUUGUCACCAUUCCCAGUUUUAUGAAGGGCGAGGCGCGUGGCGAUGGGCGAAGCUUCCGACCAUCAGGGAUUAAAUUCAAGGGGUCAGGACAGGAAUGAGAGCGGACCUUCCAUCAGCAAGCGAGGCAAGAGAGGCGUCCUUUGCCUCGCUCAAGUAGGAUCUGCGGGGCUCACUGCACUGCCUGAGCCACGCUACCCAAGCUCUGCCCCUCCCUCGCCUUGCUUCCCCCGCCACUCAAUGGUACACACUCACCAGUUGGCAGUGCACAGUCAAUAGGGAACUUUACAGUAUUGGGAAUAUUCAUGAGUGGGGAUAGGUGCAAAUAAUAAUAUGUAGGUUUGAUUCACUCGUUUGUACAUUGAGUGCCACGUUAAGUCUGAUCAAUUUUUGUAGCUUCGCUUGUUUUAAGUAAA